CAUGCACCAGUGGGGUCCCUUGGCCUGGCCUGCACCCUCUCACAAUCUGGGACCCCUUGGGGGAUGUUGGAGAGCCAGUUUUGGCCCAAUCCCUGCAGGCCAGGCCGAGGGACUCUACUGGUGCACG
rnacentral:pre_miRNA from 1 species